UACGGAGGGGGCAAGCGUUGUUCGGAAUUACUGGGCGUAAAGCGCACGCAGGCGGAUUUUUCAGUCAGAUGUGAAAUCCCAGGGCUCAACCGAGGAACUGCAUCUGAUACUGGGAAGCUUGAGUGCAGAAGAGGAGAGUGGAAUUCCAUGUGUAGCGGUGAAAUGCGUAGAGAUAUGGAGGAACACCAGUGGCGAAGGCGGCUCUCUGGUCUGUGACUGACGCUGAGGUGCGAAAGCGUGGGGAGCAAACAGG
rnacentral:rRNA from 1 species